UACGUAGGGUGCGAGCGUUAAUCGGAAUUACUGGGCGUAAAGCGUGCGCAGGCGGUUCUAUAAGACAGAUGUGAAAUCCCCGGGCUCAACCUGGGAACUGCGUUUGUGACUGUAGGACUCGAGUGUGGCAGAGGGGGGUGGAAUUCCACGUGUAGCAGUGAAAUGCGUAGAGAUGUGGAGGAACACCUGUGGCGAAGGCGCCUUGCUGGCCGAUUUCUGACGCUGAGGCGCGAAAGCGUGGGGAGCAAACAGG
rnacentral:rRNA from 1 species